rnacentral:rRNA from 1 species
AGGACGAACGCUGGCGGCGCGCUUAACACAUGCAAGUCGUACGGGGCUCCUUCGGGGGUUCAGUGGCGAACGGGUGCGUAACACGUGAGUGACCUGCCCUUGUGCGGGGGAUAACCCGGGGAAACCCGAGCUAAUACCGCAUGAACUCAGACUGCUUCAUGGUGGAUUGAGGAAAGGUGCUGCAAGGCACCGCGCAGGGAGGGGCUCGCGGCGUAUCAGGUAGUUGGUGAGGUAACGGCUCACCAAGCCGAUGACGCGUAGGGGGUCUGAGAGGAUGGCCCCCACAUUGGGACUGAGAUACGGCCCAGACUCCUACGGGAGGCAGCAGUGGGGAAUCUUGCGCAAGUGGCCGAAAGGCUGACGCAGCGACGCCG